rnacentral:rRNA from 1 species
GGUGCUGCAUGGCUGUCGUCAGCUCGUGUUGUGAAAUGUUGGGUUAAGUCCCGCAACGAGCGCAACCCUUAUCCUUUGUUGCCAGCGGUCCGGCCGGGAACUCAAAGGAGACUGCCAGUGAUAAACUGGAGGAAGGUGGGGAUGACGUCAAGUCAUCAUGGCCCUUACGACCAGGGCUACACACGUGCUACAAUGGCGCAUACAAAGAGAAGCGACCUCGCGAGAGCAAGCGGACCUCAUAAAGUGCGUCGUAGUCCGGAUUGGAGUCUGCAACUCGACUCCAUGAAGUCGGAAUCGCUAGUAAUCGUGGAUCAGAAUGCCACGGUGAAUACGUUCCCGGGCCUUGUACACACCGCCCGUCACACCAUGGGAGUGGGUUGCAAAAGAAGUAGGUAGCUUAACCUUCGGGAGGGCGCUUACCACUUUGUGAUUCAUGACUGGGGUGAAGUCGUAACAAGGUAACCGUAGGGGAACCUGCGGUUGGAUCACCUC